UACGUAGGGGGCGAGCGUUGUCCGGAUUUACUGGGCGUAAAGAGCGCGCAGGCGGUCGUUCAAGUCGCGUGUGAAAGCCCCCGGCUCAACUGGGGAGGGUCACGCGAUACUGAUCGACUCGAAGGCAGGAGAGGGAAGUGGAAUUCCCGGUGUAGCGGUGAAAUGCGUAGAUAUCGGGAGGAAUACCUAUGGCGAAAGCAGGCUACUGGACCGUCACUGACUCUGAUCUGCGAAAGCUAGGGGAGCAAACAGG
rnacentral:rRNA from 1 species